ensembl:lncRNA
GUCCAUCAGUUUGGAUCGCUUCCAGCUGCUCUGCUAUAAAAACACUCUUCAGAUCAGGGCUGCCAGUCGGCCUUCAGCAGACUUGACGCUCUGAUUUCCCUUCACUCACAAACAUCAGGUUCUGUUGAUCCACGAUGCAGGUUCUGUUCAGAGCGGCGCUGCUACUGCUGCUGCUGAGCACCAGUGCAGCUGAACACUGUGACAUGCCCGAGAAAGUGCAGCCACAGCAGAUGGACAAGAUUAUGGAGUCUCGCUGGGUUCUGGUGGAGGCCUUCUCAGACUACCCACAAGGUAUAGACUUAGUGAGGUACGCCAACAGCUCGGUGGUGGAGGUAGAGACGAGAAGCGACAACAAAACCUUCCUGUUGGUGGAGAGGAACGUUGUGGGUGGAAAAUGUCUCAUCUUUCGUCUCAACAUGACGAUUCCUGAUCCCGAGAAGUCCAACCACACCAUGGAGCUGGUCGAGCCCGGUGAGUCACCAACAGACUGGAUGGACACAAAACUACACACAGAGACUCAAACUGACAAAAAGAGCCACAGAGAGCCACAAAACAACCACAAAAGGACACAAAACAAUUACACUGAGACAUAAUAAACCACAAAGAGAAACAAAAAACCAUGAGACACAAAACAACUACAGACACAAAACAAAGUGACCACAGGUCCUUGGAUUUAUACCUGCAAAAAAUCUUAAAAUCACACAAUAUGACCACAGAACAACCACAAAGCAACUACAAAGAGUUGCAAAACAAUCACAAAAUGACUGCAAAGACACAAGACGACCACAAGACACAACAUGACCACAAAAUGAUGCAAAGCAAGCACAAAGAGACACAAAAUGA